AUUGAACGCUGGCGGCAGGCCUAACACAUGCAAGUCGAACGAGUGGCGGACGGGUGAGUAAUGUCUGUGAAACUGCCCGAUGGAGGGGGAUAACUACUGGACACGGUAGCUAAUACCGCAUACCAUCGGAUGUGCCGAGAUGGGAUUAGCUUGUAGGUGGGGUAUUGGCUCACCUAGGCGACGAUCCCUAGCUGGUCUGAGAGGAUGACCAGCCACACUGGAACUGAGACACGGUCCAGACUCCUACGGGAGGCAGCAGUGGGGAAUAUUGCACAAUGGGCGCAAGCCUGAUGCAGCCAUGCCGCGUGUGUGAAGAAGGCCUUCGGGUUGUAAAGUACUUUCAGCGAGGAGGCGUUACCCGCAGAAGAAGCACCGGCUAACUCCGUGCCAGCAGCCGCGGUAAUUC
rnacentral:rRNA from 1 species